rnacentral:rRNA from 1 species
GGUAAUUUGACCGUGCAAAGGUAGCAUAAUCAUUAGUUUUUUAAUUGAAAGCUGGAAUGAAAGGUUGGAUGAGAAAAAAGCUGUCUCUAUUUAAUUUAUUUAGAAUUUUAUUUUUAAGUUAAAAAGCUUAAAUUUAAAUAGAAGACGAGAAGACCCUAUAGAGUUUUAUUAAUUUUUUUUUAUAAAAAUAAUAGUAUUUUUUAUUUUUGUGUAAGAUAUUAAUUUAGUUGGGGUGAUUGAAAAAUUUAAUUAACUUUUUUUUUAUAAAUACAUUUAUAUAUGAUUAUUUGAUCCUUAAUUUAAGAUUAAAAGAUAAAAUUACCUUAGGGAUAACAGCGUAAUUUUUUUUGAGAGUUCUAAUCGAAAGAAAAGAUUGCGACCUCGAUGUUGGAUUAAAAUAAAAUUUUGGUGUAGAAGCUAAAG